rnacentral:rRNA from 1 species
CAGCCGCCGCGGUAAUACGGAGGGUGCAAGCGUUAAUCGGAAUUACUGGGCGUAAAGCGCACGCAGGCGGUCUGACAAGUCAGAUGUGAAAUCCCCGGGCUUAACCUGGGAACUGCAUUUGAAACUGUCAGGCUGGAGUCUUGUAGAGGGGGGUAGAAUUCCAGGUGUAGCGGUGAAAUGCGUAGAGAUCUGGAGGAAUACCGGUGGCGAAGGCGGCCCCCUGGACAAAGACUGACGCUCAGGUGCGAAAGCGUGGGGAGCAAACAGGAUUAGAUACCCCCGUAGUCCAUGUCUCUUAUCC